AUCCAACUGACGAGUCCCAUAUAGGACGAAACACGCCUCCUGGAU
rnacentral:hammerhead_ribozyme from 1 species